GACAGAGGCCCCAAGCGUUAGGCGGAAUCACUGGGCUUAAAGCGUGUGUAGGCGGAUCGUUAAGUGUCUUGUGAAAUCCCACGGCUCACCCGUGGAACUGCUGGGCAUACUGGCGAUCUUGGGCCAACUAGGGGCAGUCGGAACAAGCGGUGGAGCGGUGAAAUGCGUAGAUAUCGUUUGGAACGCCAACGGUGAAAACAGCUCGCUGGGGGUGUGCUGACGCUGAGACACGAAAGCCAGGGGAGCGAACGGG
rnacentral:rRNA from 1 species